UUUAUUAACUUCAAGUUCAAU
rnacentral:piRNA from 1 species